rnacentral:rRNA from 1 species
GGUCAAGCGAAUAAGCGCACACGGUGGAUGCCUAGGCGGUCAGAGGCGAUGAAGGACGUGGCAGCCUGCGAAAAGUGUCGGGGAGCUGGCAACAAGCUUUGAUCCGGCAAUAUCCGAAUGGGGAAACCCACUGCUUCGGCAGUAUCCUGCAGUGAAUUCAUAGCUGCUGGAAGCGAACCCGGUGAACUGAAAUAUCUAAGUAACCGGAGGAAAAGAAAUCAACCGAGAUUCCCUAAGUAGUGACGAGCGAACGGGGAGCAGCCCUUAAGCUGGAAUGGCUUUAGAAAAACAAUCUGGAAAGAUUGGCCAUAGAAGGUGAUAGCCCUGUAUUUAAAAGGGCCACUCCAGUGAAGACGAGUAGGGCGGGGCACGUGAAACCCUGUCUGAAUAUGGGGGGACCAUCCUCCAAGGCUAAAUACUCCUGACCGACCGAUAGUGGACCAGUACCGUGAGGGAAAGGCGAAAAGAACCCCGGAGAGGGGAGUGAAAUAGAUCCUGAAACCGUGUGCGUACAAGCAGUAGGAGCUCGCAAGAGUGACUGCGUACCUUUUGUAUAAUGGGUCAGCGACUUACUGUUCGUGGCAAGCUUAACCGUAUAGGGGAGGCGAAGGGAAACCGAGUCUGAUAAGGGCGCAUAGUCGCGGGCAGUAGACCCGAAACCGGGUGAUCUAGUCAUGGCCAGGGUGAAGGUGCCGUAACAGGUACUGGAGGCCCGAACCCACGUCUGUUGCAAAAGACGGGGAUGAGCUGUGAUUAGGAGUGAAAAGCUAAUCGAACCCGGAGAUAGCUGGUUCUCCUCGAAAGCUAUUUAGGUAGCGCCUCAUAUGUAUCCUCUCGGGGGUAGAGCACUGUUAUGGCUAGGGGGUCAUCGCGACUUACCAAACCAUUGCAAACUCCGAAUACCGAGACGGACUGUAUGGGAGACACACGGCGGGUGCUAACGUCCGUCGUGAAAAGGGAAACAACCCAGACCCACAGCUAAGGUCCCAAAUUCACUGCUAAGUGGAAAACGAUGUGGAAAGGCAUAGACAGCCAGGAGGUUGGCUUAGAAGCAGCCACCCUUUAAAGAAAGCGUAAUAGCUCACUGGUCGAGUCGGUCUGCGCGGAAGAUUUAACGGGGCUAAGCAGUGAACCGAAGCUUGGGGUGCAUAAAACUUGUUUUAUGCGCGGUAGAGGAGCGUUCCGUAAGCCUGCGAAGGUGGAUUGAGAAGUCUGCUGGAGGUAUCGGAAGUGCGAAUGCUGACAUGAGUAACGAUAAUGCGGGUGAAAAGCCCGCACGCCGAAAGCCCAAGGUUUCCUUGCGCAACGUUAAUCGACGCAGGGUUAGUCGGUCCCUAAGGCGAGGGCGAAAGCCGUAGUCGAUGGGAAGCAGGUUAAUAUUCCUGCACCUCGCGUGAGUGCGAUGGAGGGACGGAGAAGGUUAGGUGUACCGGGCGUUGGUUGUCCCGGGGAAAGGCGGUAGGUUUGGAUCUUUGGCAAAUCCGGGAUCCUUUAAGACCGAGCACCGAGACGAGCCUUUAUGGCGAAGUCACUGAUACCACGCUUCCAGGAAAAGCUCCUAAGCUUCAGCUCACGAAGACCGUACCGUAAACCGACACAGGUGGGUAGGAUGAGAAUUCUCAGGCGCUUGAGAGAACUCGGGUGAAGGAACUAGGCAACAUGGCACCGUAACUUCGGGAGAAGGUGCACCCUUUUUGGUGGCUCGUGCGAGCUAUAGCUGAAGAGGGUCGCAGAAACCAGGCCGCUGCGACUGUUUAUCAAAAACACAGCACUCUGCAAACACGAAAGUGGACGUAUAGGGUGUGACGCCUGCCCGGUGCUGGAAGGUUAAUUGAUGGGGUCAGCCGCAAGGCGAAGCUCUUGAUCGAAGCCCCAGUAAACGGCGGCCGUAACUAUAACGGUCCUAAGGUAGCGAAAUUCCUUGUCGGGUAAGUUCCGACCUGCACGAAUGGCGUAACGACAGCGGCGCUGUCUCCACCCGAGACUCAGUGAAAUUGAAAUCGCUGUGAAGAUGCAGCGUUCCCGUGGCAAGACGGAAAGACCCCGUGAACCUUUACUAUAGCUUUACACUGAACGUUGAGUUCGUCUGUGUAGGAUAGGUGGGAGGCUAUGAAACUGUGGCGCUAGCUGCAGUGGAGCCAUCCUUGAAAUACCACCCUGUCGUGCUUGACGUUCUAACCUAGGUCCGUUAUCCGGAUCAGGGACCGUGUAUGGUGGGUAGUUUGACUGGGGCGGUCUCCUCCUAAAGAGUAACGGAGGAGCACGAAGGUACGCUCAGCGCGGUCGGACAUCGCGCACUGUGUGCAAAGGCAUAAGCGUGCUUGACUGCAAGAUCGACGGAUCAAGCAGGUACGAAAGUAGGUCUUAGUGAUCCGGUGGUUCUGUAUGGAAGGGCCAUCGCUCAACGGAUAAAAGGUACUCCGGGGAUAACAGGCUGAUACCGCCCAAGAGUUCAUAUCGACGGCGGUGUUUGGCACCUCGAUGUCGGCUCAUCACAUCCUGGGGCUGUAGUCGGUCCCAAGGGUAUGGCUGUUCGCCAUUUAAAGUGGUACGCGAGCUGGGUUCAGAACGUCGUGAGACAGUUCGGUCCCUAUCUGCCAUGGGCGUUGGAAGUUUGAGAGGGGCUGCUCCUAGUACGAGAGGACCGGAGUGGACGAACCUCUGGUGUUCCGGUUGUCACGCCAGUGGCAUUGCCGGGUAGCUAUGUUCGGAAGCGAUAACCGCUGAAAGCAUCUAAGCGGGAAGCGCGCCUCAAGAUGAGACUUCCCGGGGCACAAGCCCCCUAAAGGAACCAUGUAGACUACGUGGUUGAUAGGUCAGGUGUGUAAGUACAGCAAUGUAUUGAGCUAACUGAUACUAAUGAUCCGUGCGGCUUGACCAU